GAGAUGAAGAUACAAGCAAGAAGAUCAGUUGAAGCUUUUAAAAUCAGAUUUGUCAUUACAUGAUGAUUUUCCAUUAAGAUUACAUUUUGCGCGUGAGAAUCAUGAUGAGUGAAAGCUCAAGCUUGAGCUAUAUGUCUUGUCAGAAAAGCAAAAGAAGGGGUGCCGUAGAUCCUGUGCUCAAUCUUUGCCAUCCUCAAGAUAUGAAGAUGCCUUUCUUGGGAGCCAUAAGCUAACCAAGUUGAUGUAUGCCUGAGGGAAAGGGGUUCCUUUUGCUUUCCUUUCUUUGAAGGCUUGAACUUGCCAUUCUCGAUUAUAUGUCUAAAAGAGGUUUCCAUCGGACUGGUGAGGCGUUC
rnacentral:misc_RNA from 1 species